rnacentral:tRNA from 1 species
GGGAGGGUGGCCGAGUGGCCGAAGGCACCGGCUUGCUAAGCCGGGGACGGGCGACCGUCCGCGGGUUCGAAUCCCGCCCCUCCCG